CCACAUCGCCACGUGCAUUCUUCCACUUCUUUUUUUCGUUCAAAAUGGACGGUCGCGUUUUCUGCGUGAAUUCUCAGCUAAAAUUUAACAAAAGGGAUGUUGUGCGGUAGCAGGAAAUGGAACUGAAAAUAACUAUGGAAAAAACAGUUUUCAUGGCUUUCUGCCAAAUUUAUCCACACGUGUCCCAAAAGUAAGAUGGUCUAUUUGAAAGUGGAUUGAAAUAGAUUUCGCAUGUGACAAAGAUAGACGGAACGAUUAUGAGACAAAAUAAGUGCUUUUAUGUCUGACUCGUUUUUUCGACAGAUAAAUUCCGGAGAAAUGAAAAUGUUCAGAAUUAAAUGCAGAGGUCUUGGCCGGACUGCUUAAGAAUAAUGAGAAAAUAAGAAAAUGGUUGACAAAAAUAAUAAUUGUUCUCCGAUAAACGAAAUAUGCAAUCCACUGAUACAUCUGGAUCUCUGCUCAGAACAAUGGAACACAGAUAUGCGGUCAAGUUUGGAAAUAUGAGAAAUAUUUUUUGAAGUUCACUCGUUGUUUUGCGAUUGGAAUCUGGGUUUUGGACUUUUUAGUUAAACGGCAACGCAGGAAGAAAUUCGUAAAUAUUGAAUGAAUAAAAUCUAAAAAUGAUGCAGAUACCUGUACUGCACACUAUAUAAAUCAAGCAACGAAGGAAUUUUGCUGAUUAAUAAAGAUUCGCUGAUGAUAUAAACAUAUUACAAAAUAAUACCCGAUUGAGGAUGGCUUAAAAUCUAAAGGUAUUCCCAGUGUUGACUAAGCCAAUUUGCAAUGGAUUUUUAGUACAAGGUCUUCAUAAUAUGCAGUACCCAAGAUGGUUUGGAUUAUAAUAUGUAUUUCCAAGAUGUCUGAAGAUUAUCAUGGAAAAGGUUGUUUACCCUGCAACAUUACUAAGGCUUGAACUAAAGCGGUCUUUUUUAAUGGUUAAAUCCUCAUGAAGGCAGUAAUAUUAAGCUAAUACCUGACAUCUGGCCUUGUGAUUCAGCUGAACUUUUGUGGUAUCAUACGAAUUGCAAAGAUUGACCAACGCCAUUUCACUCCAAACUAAACUAAACUCUGCUGUAGCCAUUUGAACAAAUAAAAACUCAAAAGAUACUGUUUAAUAUAA